UACGUAGGGGGCUAGCGUUGUCCGGAAUCAUUGGGCGUAAAGCGCGUGUAGGCGGUUCGGUAAGUCCGCUGUGAAAGUCGGGGGCUCAACCCUCGAAUGCCGGUGGAUACUGUCGGACUAGAGUACGGAAGAGGCGAGUGGAAUUCCUGGUGUAGCGGUGAAAUGCGCAGAUAUCGAGAGGAACACCGGUGGCGAAGGCGGCGAUCUGGACGAUGACUGACGCUGAGACGCGAAAGCGUAGGGAGCAAACAGG
rnacentral:rRNA from 1 species